AUUGAACGCUGGCGGCAGGCCUAACACAUGCAAGUCGAGCGGGGUUUUCGGACCUAGCGGCGGACGGGUGAGUAAUGCUUAGGAAUCUGCCUAUUAGUGGGGGACAACAUUCCGAAAGGAAUGCUAAUACCGCAUACGCCCUACGGGGGAAAGCAGGGGAUCUUCGGACCUUGCGCUAAUAGAUGAGCCUAAGUCAGAUUAGCUAGUUGGUGGGGUAAAGGCCUACAAAGGCGACGAUCUGUAGCGGGUCUGAGAGGAUGAUCCGCCACACUGGGACUGAGACACGGCCCAGACUCCUACGGGAGGCAGCAGUGGGGAAUAUUGGACAAUGGGCGAAAGCCUGAUCCAGCCAUGCCGCGUGUGUGAAGAAGGCCUUUUGGUUGUAAAGCACUUUAAGCGAGGAGGAGGCUACCGAGAUUAAUACUCUUGGAUAGUGGACGUUACUCGCAGAAUAAGCACCGGCUAACUCUGUGCCAGCCGCCGCCGUAAUAC
rnacentral:rRNA from 1 species